AGAGUUUGAUCAUGGCUCAGAUUGAACGCUGGCGGCAGGCCUAACACAUGCAAGUCGAACGGUAACAUUUCUAGCUUGCUAGAAGAUGACGAGUGGCGGACGGGUGAGUAAUACUUAGGAAUAUGCCUUUGUGUGGGGGAUAACCAUUGGAAACGAUGGCUAAUACCGCAUAACGUCUUCGGACCAAAGGGGGCUUCGGCUCCCGCGCAAAGAGUAGCCUAAGCGAGAUUAGCUUGUUGGUGAGGUAAAGGCUCACCAAGGCGACGAUCUCUAGCUGUUCUGAGAGGAAGAUCAGCCACACUGGAACUGAGACACGGUCCAGACUCCUACGGGAGGCAGCAGUGGGGAAUAUUGCACAAUGGGGGAAACCCUGAUGCAGCCAUGCCGCGUGUGUGAAGAAGGCCUUCGGGUUGUAAAGCACUUUCAGUUGUGAGGAAAAGUUAGUAGUUAAUACCUGCUAGCCGUGACGUUAACAACAGAAGAAGCACCGGCUAACUCCGUGCCAGCAGCCGCGGUAAUACGGAGGGUGCGAGCGUUAAUCGGAAUUACUGGGCGUAAAGCGCACGCAGGCGGUUUGUUAAGCUAGAUGUGAAAGCCCCGGGCUCAACCUGGGACGGUCAUUUAGAACUGGCAGACUAGAGUCUUGGAGAGGGGAGUGGAAUUCCAGGUGUAGCGGUGAAAUGCGUAGAUAUCUGGAGGAACAUCAGUGGCGAAGGCGACUCCCUGGCCAAAGACUGACGCUCAUGUGCGAAAGUGUGGGUAGCGAACAGGAUUAGAUACCCUGGUAGUCCACACCGUAAACGCUGUCUACUAGCUGUUUGUGGAUUUAAUCCGUGAGUAGCGAAGCUAACGCGAUAAGUAGACCGCCUGGGGAGUACGGCCGCAAGGUUAAAAC
rnacentral:rRNA from 1 species